rnacentral:rRNA from 1 species
UACGAAGGGGGCUAGCGUUACUCGGAUUGACUGGGCGUAAAGGGCGCGUAGGCGGUUCGUACAGUCAGACGUGAAAUUCCUGGGCUCAACCUGGGGGCUGCGUUUGAUACGUGCGGGCUUGAGUUCGGAAGAGGGUCGUGGAAUUCCCAGUGUAGAGGUGAAAUUCGUAGAUAUUGGGAAGAACACCGGUGGCGAAGGCGGCGACCUGGUCCGAUGACUGACGCUGAGGCGCGAAAGCGUGGGGAGCAAACAGG